GCACCUUCCCUCAUGUGUUUUGUCACAAUCCCAGCAAGCUGACGAACCGUGUGACAGCCCUUUGACUUACCCAUGUCCUCUCACUGUGCAGCACGUGGAGCAGUCGUCCCUGCCAGACCCACCCAAGGCCCUGUAACCCCACUACACAGCUCCAGGGCUUAUCCCAGUACAGUUCACAGAAUCAGCCCAGCCGCCCGUUCCACCCCUAAACCCAGACCCACGAGCACGUGUGGUCCCUGACUGCUCCAAGUGUAAGGUGACCGGUGUUAGCAGGAAAGCUGCACACAAGGUGUUUCUACUCAGCGUGGGAAUCAUCACAAACUGCCAGGCCAGUGCUGUGCGUUCUCCUGCCGUUCUCUCCUCUCCUGCUCUCCCUCUUGGGCCUGGCCAAGCUCCUCCCGCUGCUCUGGGGCCACCCAGCAGUGCAGUGCUCCAGCUGAGUGCUCCAUCCACUGCUGGAUCGCCUCGAUUCCUGCAAAUACCUCCGGAAAAAGCCACCUGCCCCGGUCCCUUAUCACCCAAGUUAAGCAGGCCACCUACAUUGUCUUUUGACUCCCACCUCACCCU
rnacentral:lncRNA from 1 species